GACAGAGGGUGCAAACGUUGUUCGGAAUUACUGGGCGUAAAGCGCGUGUAGGCGGCUUUGCAAGUCGGGCGUGAAAUCCCACGGCUCAACCGUGGAAGUGCACUCGAAACUGCAGAGCUAGAGUCCUGGAGAGGAAGGUGGAAUGCUUGGUGUAGAGGUGAAAUUCGUAGAUAUCAAGCGGAACACCGGUGGCGAAGGCGGCCUUCUGGACAGUGACUGACGCUGAGGCGCGAAAGCUAGGGGAGCAAACAGG
rnacentral:rRNA from 1 species